AUUGAACGCUGGCGGCAGGCCUAACACAUGCAAGUCGAGCGAGCGGCGGACGGGUGAGUAAUGUAUGGGGACUGCCUUAUCGAGGGGGAUCACUACUGGAAACGGUGGCUAAUACCGCAUACUUUCCGCUAACCCAUAUGGGAUUAUCUAGUAGGUGGGGUAAAGGCUCACCUAGGCGACGAUCCCUAGCUGGUCUGAGAGGAUGAUCAGCCACACUGGGACUGAGACACGGCCCAGACUCCUACGGAGGCAGCAGUGGGGAAUAUUGCACAAUGGGCGCAAGCCUGAUGCAGCCAUGCCGCGUGUAUGAAGAAGGCCUUAGGGUUGUAAAGUACUUUCAGCGGGGAGGCGUUACCCGCAGAAGAAGCACCGGCUAACUCCGUGCCAGCAGCCGCGGUAAUAC
rnacentral:rRNA from 1 species